GGAUUGUAGUCUGCAACCCGACUACACGAAGCUGGAAUCGCUAGUAAUCGCGAAUCAGAACGUCGCGGUGAAUACGUUCCCGGGUCUUGUACACACCGCCCGUCACACCAUGGGAGUCGGGAAUGCCCGAAGCCGGUGACCCAACCGAAAGGAGGGAGCCGUCGAAGGCAGGUCUGAUAACUGGGGUGAAGUCGUAACAAGGUAGC
rnacentral:rRNA from 1 species